AUGAAGAGAUUUUUUUGGCUACAACAAUCGCACGAGCGGUGGUUGCUCAAAGGGGACUUGAACACUGACUAUUUCCAUCGUAUAGCGAAUGGACGUAAACGGAAAAACACAAUCCACUCCCUGAAGGUUGGUGAUUUGGAAAUAGAGAGCAUUGAUAAGCUGAUUGAGCAUGCCAUGGAGUUCUAUAAGGAACUGUUCGGUCCUGCUCCUGGUAAUCAGUUUCAUCUUGAUCCUGACACCUGGGCGCCUGAGGAAAAGAUGAGUGAGGAGGAUAACAAUAACCAGUGUAGAGAGUUUUCGGAGGAGGAGGUUAGAGAGGCCUUGUUUGACAUGGCCUCCAACAGGGCUCCAGGUGCUGAUAAUAUCCUGGUCGAAUUCUAUCAGGUAUGUUGGGAUAUAGUCCAGGAGGAUAUCAUGGCCUUGUUUAGACACUUUCAUCAAGGGACGUUCGAUGUUCAGCGGUUGAAUUAUGGGAUUAUCACGCUGCUCCCGAAGCUUUCUGGGGCUGACAAAAUCCAACAGUUCAGACCCAUAUGUUUGCUUAGAUGCCCCUACAAGCUCAUUACAAAAGUCCUAGAUCGCCGGGUGUCGGUGUAUGCCGACAAACUAAUUAGUCCAGUCCAGAAUGCUUUUGUCAAAGGGAGAAGCAUCAUGGAUGGUGUUCUCUCGCUCCAUGAGAUCCUUAAUUACACUCAUGUGAAGAAGAGAGUUGGCGUGGUGUUGAAACUGGACUUUGAAAAGGCAUAUGAUAAGGUUAAUUGGGACUUCUUGCUAGAGUGUCAUAAGAUGCGGGGCUUCAAUGAUACCUGGUGUGGGUGGAUUAAUCAGAUUCUUUGA
rnacentral:rRNA from 1 species